rnacentral:rRNA from 1 species
ACUGGCUCAGGACGAACGCUGGCGGCGUGCCUAAUACAUGCAAGUCGUACGCUUCUUUUCCACGGAGCUUGCUCCCGAAAAAGAAGAGUGGCGAACGGGUGAGUAACACGUGGGUAACCUCCCAUCAGAAGGGGAUAACACUUGGAAACAGGUGCUAAUACCGAUAACAAUGAAACCGCAUGGUUUUGAUUUGAAAGGCGCUUUCGGGUGUCGCUGAUGGAUGGACCCGCGGUGCAUUAGCUAGUUGGUGAGGUAACGGCUCACCAAGGCCACGAUGCAUAGCCGACCUGAGAGGGUGAUCGGCCACAUUGGGACUGAGACACGGCCCAACUCCUACGGGAGGCAGCAGUAGGGAAUCUUCGGCAAUGGACGAAAGUCUGACCGAGCAACGCCGCGUGAGUGAAGAAGGUUUUCGGAUCGUAAAACUCUGUUGUUAGAGAGAACAAGGAGGAGUAACUGUCUCCCUGACGUUCACAAGCCUC